UACGGAGGGGGCUAGCGUUGUUCGGAAUUACUGGGCGUAAAGCGCACGUAGGCGGCUUGGUAAGUUAGAGGUGAAAGCCUGGAGCUCAACUCCAGAAUUGCCUUUACGACUGCCGAGCUAGCAGGUGAGAGAGGUGAGUGGAAUUCCGAGUGUAGAGGUGAAAUUCGUAGAUAUUCGGAAGAACACCAGUGGCGAAGGCGGCUCACUGGCUCAUACUGGACGCUGAGGUGCGAAAGCGUGGGGAGCAAACAGG
rnacentral:rRNA from 1 species